CCUCACGCUUGUUUUUGUGCGGAAGAUGACGCGGUGCUGCCCCGGGAGCCGAGCUGCUCGGUGCCUGCAGGGGCUGCAUGCGGUACUACCGGCGGACCAGGCACCUCAUCCUUCUUCCCAAAUGGUUCAUACAGCACAGUGUUCAAAUUCCUGCUGAAGAUAUUUCUGAAAUAGCUGUUCUUGAAGAUCCUCCACCCUCCUCUCCUGCUCUCCUCCAUUCAAUUAUUUAAAGUGUCUUUGUCUGUCAAAUCUCUCCAGUUGUAUUAUGGAUAUAUGAAAACUUCUCCAUGAGAAAUGGUCCUAGAAAAAGUGACUGGAAAGAGCAUUAGACAUCAUCUCGUUUGCUUUCAUGUCUCAACCUGCUGUUAGAUAGCUGCAAAAAAUGAGACCUCACAACCUGCUUUGGCAAUCCAACAGUGAAGAGAAGAUACAGGAAAGGAAAGAUUUCCCAGUUGCUGAAGCAGUUAUUAAUGAGCUCUUGUGUUGGGCUGUAACUGAUCAAAGGAUUUAGAACUUGUCAAACCAUUGCUUGAACUACAGCAAACUUUGGGAUCUCCUGUGGUACUGCACUGGGGAAAUUCCUCUUUAAAAGAAAGAGAUAUUUUAGAAGUUUUCUUUCCCUGAAUUCCAUCAUGUCUCUUACCCCGACCCUCAAGCCUCACUUGUUCCUCCCAGGUCAUAUUUUCUGCCCUACCAUCCUAAUCACACUCCUGAAGUGCUGUUGAAGGCUUAUUAUAGGCCGCAUUAUGUCAGUUGAAACCUCACCUAAACCAACUAGAGAGGUUUACUUCACUUGUUUUACCAAUAGUGAUUCUGUUUAUUCUUCUCAGUAAAAUGUUUGCUUUUUUUGCAAUAGUGCAACACCAUCAACUCAUGUUCAGCCUGUGGUCCGAUGUAACCCCGUGUCCUUUCCUGCAGGGGAGCAGUCUGAAUGAGCUGGCAAUGUCAUGUCAAAUUUGGCAGAAUCACAAGGUUAGCUUUAAAAUGGGAAUUGUUUAAUGAUUUAAAAAUAGAACUGAAACAUUUGUAACAUUUCUAUUAUGUAAACAUUUUACAACAGCAGUAGCAAGCCAGAAUUGUACUUGGUAGUUUGAAAGGGAAAUUCUCUUUUUAGUCAUUGGGAAGUGUAUUUUUAUUUAGCUAUGCUGAAGGAGAAGAAAAGACUAAACAGCACAAGCAGUGCAACAUUAUUGUUUAAUUUUAAGUUGGAUAACUUUUGGUAAUACAAAAGUGUUGUAAGAUGAAGUUGCAUUUUUUUGCUGCUAUUAUUUGUUUUUUAUUUUAGUUUAAAAUAAGUAAUGCACUCUUCAAGCUGAAUGAGGCACCUAAUGGUGGUUUUGGAAUGUCUGAAGUGCCAGCACGCUGAGAGACUUUGUGUCCCUCCCUGUUUCCUCAGGGCUGUCCCCAUCCAGCUCACAGCACAGUACCCCUCAUCAAGCUCCCUAGUGCCAUCAGUCCCUGUCUGUGUCCAGCUCUGGCACAGCUACACCUGUGCCUGGCCAUGAGCACUGUUGACCUAACACGUGGCAGGUUGAAACCAACCAGCAUGAUUAUCCCAGUAUGCUUUCAGCCUGGCCUCAUCACUAUGUCACUCAGCAAUCAUGAGCUUUACCUGACCCUGCCACCCUCGCUGGGCCUGACCCUUAUUCUUGCUCUCAGCUUGACCUCACCUCGUCACCACAGUGGACCUGACCAACAGACUGUCCCUGGUUGACCCCAGCCUGUCCUGCUCUUUUACUGUGGAUGAUAGGGCGGGCCUUCACUGGUGAGACUCUUCCAUGUCAGCUCACAUGGGGAGCCCCUUAGGUUCCAAGGGAAGCACUGUCCCUCACUGUGCUCUGACACUGUGGACAGUUGCCCAAGAAAAAGAUCCACAAUCUUCUCAGAUACAGGACAUGCAAUGACAACAGGGAAGAGAAGCAAGUUGCACCUGGGAUACCUCCAAUUGGACCUAAGGACAAUAUUUCUCACCAGAAGAAUG